GACGAGCUCUCCAAACGUUAUUCGGUAUUACUGGGCUUAAAGAGUUCGUAGGCGGUCUUGUAGGUGAGGUGUGAAAGCCCUCGGCUUAACCGAGGAAUUGCGCUUCAAACCGCAGGGCUAGAGGAAGGUAGGGGUAUGCGGAACAGAUGGUGGAGCGGUGAAAUGCGUUGAUAUCAUCUGGAACACCGGUGGCGAAAGCGGCAUACUGGACCUUUUCUGACGCUGAGGAACGAAAGCUAGGGUAGCGAACGGG
rnacentral:rRNA from 1 species